UUUAAAGAGAGUUUGAUCCUGGCUCAGGACGAACGCUGGCGGCGUGCCUAAUACAUGCAAGUCGAACGAACCAAAGAGAAGCUUGCUUCUCUGUCGGUGAGUGGCGGACGGGUGAGUAACACGUGGGCAACCUGCCUAUCAGCGGGGGAUAACACUUGGAAACAGGUGCUAAUACCGCAUAAUAGAGAAGUUCGCAUGAACUUCUUUUGAAAGACGGUUUCGGCUGUCACUGAUAGAUGGGCCCGCGGUGCAUUAGCUAGUUGGUGGGGUAAAGGCCUACCAAGGCGACGAUGCAUAGCCGACCUGAGAGGGUGAUCGGCCACACUGGGACUGAGACACGGCCCAGACUCCUACGGGAGGCAGC
rnacentral:rRNA from 1 species